UAGCUCUGUUCACAUCUCUAACUCACAGCCACCACCGCAAGAAUGGGAAAGGUUAAUCAGGAGGACAGUGAUAGCAAAGAUAAGAAAACUGAGUAUAGCUUAGUGCGGGUUAAAGGUACAUGGAAGCGACAACUGAAGAAGGUUAAAAAGGACACAUGUGACUGUGUACCUGCUGCAAAGAUCUAUGACAGCAUCACAGAAAAGGGCAUCACGUGGACAGUGGUCAGCCCCGUCGUCUUUACUUACAAGGUAACUGAGACUCAGGACUUGCUGGACCCAGUCAACGACACACUCCUACUGGGCCACAUCACAGACCAGCAGCAGCUGGAGGAUUUUAAAAAAUCAAACAAACCAAUCAAACGCUUUGUGGUCGUCGACCAAGAGGUAUACAAAAUCUAUGGUCCCAAGAUAACUGAAUAUCUGGAGGCCAACAAUAUCCUGUACAAGCUCUUGGCUCUACCCACAACUGAGGAGAACAAAUCCAUGGAAAUGGUCUUGAAGAUCCUCGAAGAGGUCAACAACUUCUGCCUCGACCGCCGUACAGAGCCCAUCAUUGCCAUUGGUGGAGGGGUGUGCCUGGACAUAGUGGGCCUGGCUGCCUCACUCUACAGAAGAUGCACCCCUUACAUCAGGGUCCCGACCACACUGCUCUCCUAUGUCGAUGCCAGCGUGGGCGCAAAGACGGGGGUUAACUUUGCAAACUGCAAGAACAAGCUGGGUGCCUACAUUCCACCUACCGCUGCCUUCCUCGACCUGUCCUUUAUACAAACCCUUCCUCGACGACACAUCUCCAACGGGCUGGCAGAGAUGUUAAAGAUGGCCUUAAUGAAACACAGAGGCCUCUUUGAGCUUCUAGAGAAACAUGGCCGCAUGCUGUUGGACACUAAAUUCCAGGCUGACAACAGUGUGUACGGGUGCAACCGCUUACAGGCUGCAUCACAAACAACUCGUAUAGCCAUCACGACCAUGCUGGAGGAGCUUGCCCCAAACCUUUGGGAGGAUGAUUUAAAUAGACUUGUGGACUUUGGCCACCUCAUCAGCCCAGCAUUAGAGAUGAAAGUUCUACCAUCUCUGCUGCAUGGCGAGGCGGUAAACAUUGAUAUGGUUUACAUGGUUUACGUGUCCAAAGAGAGCGGUCUGUUGACAGAAGAAGAAAAGCAAAGGAUCAUCAGCUGCAUGGUGGGCCUGGAGCUGCCUGUCUGGCAUGAGGAGUGUACCAUGGAGCUCAUACAGAGGUCUCUGCAGGACAGACUGAAGCAUUCUGGGGGCCUGGUCAGAAUGCCUCUGCCUGUUGGUCUCGGGCAAGCCGACAUUUUUAAUAACACGUCCUGUGAGAUUCUGCAUCGAGCUUACGAACAAUGGUGCAAUGAGCUGAGCAUCUCCACUGACGGCCACUGUGACCCUUAACCUGCCCAUAUGACAGCUGCAUCUCUUCCGCCUGUUUUUAAGAUAAGAUGAUUAUAUUUUGUGGAGAAGUGCACUCCAGCUUUUCAUUGUUCAUAUUAUUGGGGGGAAAUUUUAGUUUAAAGAAUUUGACAGCUGUGGGCUAAUUGUGUUAGCACUGCUAUAGUGUUCUCCUGAAAUAGUGACAAUUCCAGAUAGUUCCAGGUAGAGGAAUUUCAAAGUGCUGUAAGACUGAUAAAAUAAGAAAAGUUAUAUUUUUUAAACAGUUUAACACCUUUGUGUUUUUGAUUAUUGUGCAAGCAAAUAUUGUAACAAGUCAGUUACUGAUAAUAAUUAUUUCUGGAUUGUUUCAUAGCGGUUAUGUUCAGCACUCUGUCUGUGACAAGUAAAACCUCCUGCCACACUUACUACAGGUCCUGGAGUUUCCAUAGGGGCCAUGGUCCCCAGAAUCUGCAGGAAUCUGGUCAAAGCGAGAGCACGGACUUCAGCCUCUGUGAAGCAAACAGAAAUGUGAAUGUCAGUACUUUGAGGAAGCAUCAUAAUCGAAUUAAAUGGCUAAUCAGGAGCUGCUGAUACCGAGGCCGGGGAGUGGAAGUCCUUGGUUGCCGUACACAUCGAGAAGGUUGCCAGACACAGGGAGCUACACAGUAUUAAGGAAAUGUCAUUACAAUUUGGAACUGAGGGUGAGUAGGGCCAUGGGACUGUUGGGGGCGCUGCUGCCAG